GAUGAACGCUAGCGACAGGCCUAACACAUGCAAGUCGAGGGGCAUCGGGGUGUAGCAAUACGCUGCCGGCGACCGGCGGAUGGGUGAGUAACGCGUAUGCAACCUGCCUUCAGCAGGGGGAUAGCCCGUUGAAAGACGGAUUAAUACCCCGUAACACAGGGGCUCCGCAUGGAGAUUAUUGUUAAAGGGAUGCUUCCUUCGGGGAGUAUUCCGGCUGAAGAUGGGCAUGCGUUCCAUUAGGUAGUUGGUUGAGGUAACGGCUCACCAAGCCUGCGAUGGAUAGGGGAACUGAGAGGUUGGUCCCCCACACUGGUACUGAGACACGGACCAGACUCCUACGGGAGGCAGCAGUGAGGAAUCUUGGUCAAUGGACGGAAGUCUGAACCAGCCAUGUCGCGUGAAGGAGGACGGCCCUAAGGGUUGUAAACUUCUUUUGCAGGGGAAUAAAGUAUUCCACGAGAUGGGAUAUUGCAAGUACGCUGCGAAUAAGGAUCGGCUAACU
rnacentral:rRNA from 1 species